rnacentral:lncRNA from 10 species
CGAGAUUGCGCCACUGUACUCCAUCCUGGGCCACAGAGUGAGAAACCGUCUCAAAAAAAAAAAAAAAAAAAAAUAGGCCAUAGCCUGAGCUUAGCCUGCUGGCCAUAGUCUACAGACCCAUGCUAUAAUACACGAGUAACUGGUGUGAGUAACUACACACAGACAGAAAAGCACCCAGUGAACAGUGCCUUCAUUUCUCGAAUUUCCUGCUUUCUGUCAACAUGCAUCACACAGUUACAUGCUCUUCCUGUGGUUGCAAUCAGUUUAUCUUUGCAUUCUGCUGUUUUAAAAUUUAACGCCCAUUUCUGUGGAUUGGCAUAGCCCACAUUCUUGUGAAUCACCCACAGUGAUUCCUGCAGUGUUGUCCCCAGCCUCAAGCCUCUCUGCACCGUAAUUGUGCUUCUUUUCCUCAGAUACCUGCCUUGCAUUGGCCCUGGGUAAAUGUUUCCCUUGGCUGUGAAUAGGCAAUUAAAAUUCUGAACCUUUUAUGGCUCUGGAAGCUUAUCCGAUGAAACAAUACUCAUCCAGGCGGAUGGCCCACCAGCGCAAAGGGCUGAAAAGUUCCAUGGCAGCCUCAUAACUGGAGGGUGUGUCCAUGAGGAGGGUUUCGAUGACACGCUGAAAGCUCGGGCAGAUCUCUGCAGAAGCUGCAACACAGAGGAGAGAAGGCACAUGUCUCCAGGCCCCUUUCCAAGCUGGCUAGCCCUCUGGCUGGGUCUGCCCAGAUGCAAACAGCCAGGCCCAUCAGCGAGAGAUAGCAGCCUUUUCAUCGAUGGACUAGAGUGGCUGAGGCCGCUGUAAGCCAAGGUACGCAACGCUUGCUAAACAGGAAUCCCUGGAAUGAAUCCAUGCAUGAGGCCUUUGUGCCAUGUGACAGUUGAAGGCUGUGGUGACCCCGGAACCGUCCCACUCCGAGACGCCUUAACACCGUUUUUCUGCUGUUACAAACCACAGAGCAACGCGUGUGCCUCCUCCCGCCCUGGGGACUCUUUCUGUGGGAGAGGUGCCUGGAUUUAGAGGAGCGACCACUCUUCAUUUGAUCUUGGUCACUUUCCCAGUUGUCACUCGGCCCACAAACUAGGAUGUGAGCAGCAUAUUAAGAAUCUGCAGAGAUGUUCCCGUCUGCCCGGCAUAUGGAUGUCCUUCUGGGCUGCAAAGUGGCAUCCUGUGGGCAACUCCCCCCACAACAACCAGCUGUGAGCUGUGCCCAGGCACAGAGGGACCUGGCUUUCCCUGUUUCUGCAGAUGGAGCCCAGGGUUUCAGGGAGGGAGGGGGCAGGCUGGGACCUGUUGGGGAUCUGGGCACUUUCUCAUGCUCCUUGAGCUGCAAGUCAUAGAAGGAGUGGGGUGGGAGCUGGGAAUGUACCUUCCCAAGGCCACUGGCAGAACCAGCAGGCCCUUUGCUCUGGGAUGAGCUCCCUCUGAGGGGUGGGGACAGUAAAGCGGACCGAAGUCCCUGUUCUGCGGGAUGGAAACUGGCUCCCCUCCAUUGUACAGGCCAGCUCUGGGGAUUUGGGCAGCAGAUUUGGGGUUGACAGCAGAAUGACAUGAUCACCAGUUGACCUUGGCCAGGAUGCCAGCUUACUUUCUCGCUUACUUCUGCAGGUUCUUUGUUCUGCGGGUGAGUCACCCAGGUCCUGCCCUCCGUGCCUGUCUGCCCUCUCCCACUUUCCCUGCCCUGAGCUUGUUCCCACUUGUAGAUUUGGCAGGUCACUGCCAAGGCCCCUAUUCCCCCAACAUGGCCAGUGCCCUAAGGGUGGGUUGUACAGGGAGGAGCUGGCGUGGUCAGUAGACUUGAAUCAGGGACAACUCGGCUGCUGAAGGCUGAGGGGGCCUUGCAGGGCUGCAGGUGCCUUGUGCACACAGGGAGUGGGUAGAGAAGGCAACCAGGGGCUCCUUCAGGCCUUAAUGCUCUGCAGCCCAGUGAGGCUGUGCCCAGAGAGUCUGGCGAGGCCCUGGUCUGCUCCCCCAGCCAAUGGCCUGAUGCUGUUCCAUCUGGGCACCCUGUCACUUUUCGUUCAUCAGGGAGUACAGGGUGAUUCAGGGUCUCAAAUGCAGGUGUUCACAAAAUGAAAUAGAACUUCCCUCUAUCCCCGUGCUUCUUUUUAUUUUUAUAACAAAUAUACAUCGUUAUAUUUUAUUUUUAUAUUUAUGUAUUUUAUAUAUAUGUGACAUCUACUACAUGACAGAAAAUAUUUAUGGCCAGGCAAGGUGGCUUACACCUGUAAUGCCAGCACUUUGGGAGGCUGAGGCAGGCGGAUCACCUGAGGUCGAGAGUUGGAGACCAGUGUGACCAACAUGGAGAAACCCCAUCUCUACUAAAAAUACAAAAUCAGCUGGGGGUGGUGGCGCAUGCCUGUAAUCCCAGCUACUCGGGAAGCUGAGGCAGGAGAAUCGCUUGAACCGGGGAGGCGGAGGUUGUGGUGAGCCGAGAUUGCACCAUUGCACUCCAGCCUGGCAACAAGGGAUAAACCCCGUCUCAAAAAAAAAAAAAGAAAAAAAAAAAGAAAAAAAUAUUUAUAAUGUAACUAAUAUAGCUAAAAUAAAAUGUAAUUUCAGUCUCAAGCCUUCAUUCUGUUAAGGGGACAGAAACUUAAUCUUGGUCAUCUUGGGGUCUCCCUCCCUGGGGCUGUGCCUGACUUCCAGGGGGCUCGGCGUUGGCAGGAUUUCUGGUGCUUGAGGUCACCUGUCAGCCUGUCUCUUGUCAUUGGCUAUCCGCCGUGCCAUCUGCUCCUGUGUGUCCUUGGCACUGUUCGCAUGUCUCCAGCUCGCUGGCUUUCUCUGCCACCUUGGAGCCACUCCUGGGUGCACAGGAGUCUUACUGCUCCCACGCUGUGCUGGGGCCUGGGAAGACUGCUGUGGCCUACCUGCCUCCGUGUAGCACACACACCCAUUUCUUCUUCUUCUUCUCCUUCUCCUUCUUCAGACAGAGACUCACUCUGUCACCUAGGCUGGACUGCAGUGGUGCCAAAUUGGCUCACUGCAACCUCCGCCUCCCGGGUU